rnacentral:piRNA from 1 species
UAGACUGAUAUAGUGUGACACGUGUUGAUA